GUUGAACGCUGGCGGCAGGCCUAACACAUGCAAGUCGAGCGGAUGAGAGGAGCUUGCUCCUCGAUUCAGCGGCGGACGGGUGAGUAAUGCCUAGGAAUCUGCCUAGUAGUGGGGGACAACGUUUCGAAAGGAACGCUAAUACAGCAUACGUCCUACGGGAGAAAGUGGGGGAUAUUCGGACCUCACGCUAUUAGAUGAGCCUAGGUCGGAUUAGCUAGUUGGUAGGGUAACGGCCUACCAAGGCGACGAUCCGUAACUGGUCUGAGAGGAUGAUCAGGCACACUGGGGCUGAGACACGGUCCAGACUCCUACGGGAGGCAGCAGUGGGGAAUAUUGGACAAUGGGCGAAAGCCUGCUCCAGCCAUGCCGCGUGUGUGAAGAAGGCCCUCGGGUCGUAAAGCACUUUAAGUUGGGAGGAAGGGCUCAUAGCGAAUACCUGUGAGUUUUGACGUUACCGACAGAAUAAGCACCGGCUAACUUCGUGCCGGCCGCCGCCGUAA
rnacentral:rRNA from 1 species